rnacentral:rRNA from 1 species
GUACACUCCUGCGGGAGGCAGCAGUGGGGAAUUUUGGACAAUGGGCGAAAGCCUGAUCCAGCAAUGCCGCGUGAGUGAAGAAGGCCUUCGGGUUGUAAAGCUCUUUUGUCAGGGAAGAAACGGUGAGAGCUAAUAUCUCUUGCUAAUGACGGUACCUGAAGAAUAAGCACCGGCUAACUACGUGCCAGCAGCCGCGGUAAUACGUAGGGUGCAAGCGUUAAUCGGAAUUACUGGGCGUAAAGCGUGCGCAGGCGGUUUUGUAAGUCUGAUGUGAAAUCCCCGGGCUCAACCUGGGAAUUGCAUUGGAGACUGCAAGGCUAGAAUCUGGCAGAGGGGGGUAGAAUUCCACGUGUAGCAGUGAAAUGCGUAGAUAUGUGGAGGAACACCGAUGGCGAAGGCAGCCCCCUGGGUCAAGAUUGACGCUCAUGCACGAAAGCGUGGGGAGCAAACAGGAUUAGAAACCCGUGUAGUCCCA